CGAGCUGGACGCUCAGGGGAAGGGCGGGUCGAAGCCCGUCGGUUAUCCGGAUCCAAAGGUCGCAGGUUCGAUUCCUGCCCAGCCGA
rnacentral:tRNA from 1 species